UUUUUUUUUUUUUUUUUUACUAUCCUGGGUGUGUUUUUUUUUUUCCUUUAUGAAGUUGAGAAUUUCUCUUUCCAUAUCAUUGAAGAGUUGAGUUGUAAUUUUGGUGGGUGUUGCAUUGAAUCUGUAGCUUGCCUUUGGGUAAUCCUCCCAAACAUGAGCAUGGGAGAGCUCUCCAUUUUCUGAGAUCUUUGAUUUAUUUCUUGAGAGACUUGAAGUUCUUGUCAUACGGAUCUUUCACUUGUUUGACUAGAGUUACCCCAAGGUAUUUUAUAUUAUUGUGACUAUUGAGAAGGGUGUUGUUUACCUAUUUUCUUUCUCAUCCCAUUUAUCAUUUGUGUAAAGGAAGGCUACUGAUAUGUUUGAGAUAAUUUUGUAUCCAGCCACUUUGCCAAAUUUGUUUAUCAACUGUAGAAGUUCUCUGGUACAAUUUUUGGGGUCGUUUAUGUAUACUAUCAUAUCAUCUGCACAUAGUGAUACCUUGAAUUCUUCUUUGUCAAUUUGUAUUCCCUUGAUUUCCUUUUUUAUCUUAUUGCUUUAGCUAGAACUUCUAGUACUAUACUGAGUACAUAAGGGUAGAGUGGGCAGCACUCCACUAUAUUUUUAUCCCAAGUGUUCUAUGCUUUUAUCGCAAGUGUUCUGUUGAUGGACAUUUGGGGUGGCCAUAUAGAGCUCUUGUGACUAACUCUGUAACACAUCCAGGAUUUCAGGUAUGUCUUGGCCAAGUGAUUUCAUUUCCUUUGGAUAUAUAUCAGUAUGUGGGAUAAAUGGAUCAUAUAGAGAAUAUGCCUUGGUUAUGAAGAACUUCAUCAUGUUCUCUUUGUUGGAUUUACUAACUUAUUUUCCCAUUCUGUUGCAUAAUAGUGAGGAAUGGAGAACACACAGGGACUAAUUCCAGACAACAAAACCUCAAAGCAAAUGGCACCUCCAUUAAGUUAAUUCUUCAUCAGGGUUCCACUUCAUAAUAAUUCUGUAAACUCCCCAGCAGCACUCAGAAGGAGCAAAUGUUCAAAUACAGGAGGAGAGUUUACACUCUUGUGGCUAUGGCACAAGAAUUUUAGGAAUUUUUGAGACUAUAACAUGUUCAUGACUCUAUGUAUGCAUUUAAGGGAUGAAAAUAUUUGCAGAAACACCAAGAAUUCACUGUGUUUCUAAAGAGUGGUUAAGGUGGACUGUUUGCCAAUUAACCCUUCCAUUUGACUUCCUCAUCACUAAACAGAAAAGUAUCCAAAAUUCAAACUAGUAAAAUGAUGUCUCUGGGGCAUGAUAUGGCCUAUACCCUCAUGAAAUCACUGCAGGUAUGGUUACUCGCACAAGAUCAAUUUGAAAAGUUCAUUGACUAUUUCAACAGGCAGUACUAAAUGGACCCAGUAAAUGGUUAAUAAAAACAAUGGUAACCUGAAGGGAGCAGAGAAUAUAUUGUGAAACCUGGAGGAGAAGGAUAGAGGAGAUGGGAGUUCUAGGGGAAGUUGUGGAAGGAGAGUGAUAUAUAUAUAUAUAUAUAUAUAUAUAUAUGAUCAUGGCUCUUUGUUUACAUUUAUGAAGUUAUCCAAUAAUAAAUCAAAGACAGCCCAUCUUUUUUUUUUUAAAUGGAGAAACCUAUCUUAGCACUAACUAAAAUCCAUCUCUGCUUCCUGAAUAUAACCAUCUGCCUCUGGUUCCUACUGUCCCUGUUUGUCCACCAUGAUGGACUAUACCUUCAAACUAUGAGUCAAAAUAAGUCUGUCCUUCCAUU
rnacentral:lncRNA from 1 species